UGCACUUAACAACCCCUGGACAGGGACAUUCACAUCAGCAUCCGUAAAGAAGAGAGGCUCUCAAAUACCCUCCCACCACGGGCUGAUCGAUGGCCCUACCACGAUGGAGCCUUGACACUGUGAUGAGUGAAUACGCAUGCUCAUGGACAUUCUUGGAAGCAGAUUCCAAGCAGAAAACAGACUAUGAAGCUCACUCACCAGAACCCAAAAAGAAAGAGAAAUUCUCCACCUCCCUGCAGGAGAGCUGGAAUUACAGAAAUGUGCUACAGUGUCUGGUUUUUGGUGGUUCUAUGAAUCCAAACUCAGGACCUUCUUUAUCAGCAAGAACUCUUUAUGCAUUGAG